rnacentral:tRNA from 1 species
GCGUCGGUGGUCUAAUGGCUAUGACUGUGGCCUUCCAAGCCAAAUUUCCAUUUGGUUUCCGAAUUUCGAAUCCCCGCCGACGCA